ensembl:lncRNA
CCAGGGACAUCGUGUAGAUGUUGUCCCUGGGACAUCGUGUAGAUGUUGUCCCUGGGACAUCGUGUGAUAGCUUGUAAAUAAUGGAAUGAAAAUUAUUGAUUGUUAUUAACUUGUGAAAAAGAAGUGUAACAAAUCCACAUGUUAUGUUCUUACACCCUUACAGAAACUGUGACUCCUUCACAAUGUCAGGUAAUAGAUGGCCUAAUCUAUUUGCAGUGUGAGAAUUUCCCUCACAUUUAUCCAAUACCAAGCCAAAUCACUGGAAAAAUUUUGGAUGGGUCCACAAGAGCACAAAGUGCAUACUUUUUGAAGAAAAACAUCUUUCAGAUGUAUGAGAAAUUGAUUGGAGCCUGUCUGGAAAACGGCAGCCACUAGACCUUGUUUUUUUGUGACAUACCCAAGAGGACCAUAGUCUAUAUGAAUUCAUUUGGCGAGUCGGAGGUCAGAAAAAGUGCGGUGUUGAAAAACUGGAGGUAAUUAAUUAACAUAUUUAACAUAACAUAUUUAAUUGAAUUGAAAUCAUUACCGGACGUGGUUAUUGAUUUCUCUAUAUGCUUUUUAUUUGUAAUAACUGCGAUCUCUCAGCUCAUUUGCUUCAGCAAGAGGCUGCGCUGGAGAGUGGACCUUGUCACAUGUGAGCCACCCACAUCAACAGGAUGGGAACUCAUGUGGAGUGCAUGUCAUAAUGUUUGCCCAAUCUCUCAUUGAGGGUAAAACACACAUGGAGGAGUACAACACUGAAAUCACAAAGCUCAGGUCCCGACUUUGCC